UUUAAGCAUAUCACUCAGUGGAGGAAGCGCAAGCAACAGCGAUUGCUGCAGUAAUGGCGAAUGAAGGAGCAUCUCCAGUGCUCCAUCCGGAAGUGAGUGAUCAGACAACACGCCCUGGGGCAACCGCAGGUGCGAUCGGCUAUCGUGGAUUCUAGCAAAUGCUGUGGGCUGAGGGCCGGGAGGCCAGCGGCCGCGGUGGUCAUGGCGCCAGGAAGAGCCCUGGAAAGGGCCACAAUCGAGGGAUACUGUCCCCCAUGCUGGCUGUGCGCCGUGACCCACCGUGGUGCUGUCGACCGGACCCACGAGUAGAGUGGCUUGGGACUGCAGUUUGAAGUGCGAGGUGUAUCCAUCGCAAGGAAGUAUACCGACCUGGGACCGAUAGCGCACAAGUACAGUGAUGGAAGGAUGCAAAGAACUCCGUGAAGAGGGUUAAAAGUUCCUGAAGCCUCGGCAGGAACAGUGGCGAGUGAUAUGCUGUGGCUCCCGACCGGACAGGCGACCCCCGUUCCGUCCCCUCAACCAGGGCGGCGACGGUGGGUGUGCGGUCUCCGGUCGACGUCUCCGUGUAGUGGUUUCCCAAGCGACCUCGGGCCAGCCCCGGACCUGCCACUGAGCCUCCGUCCCUGGGGACGGGGAUCGCAGUCGUGGUGGUCUCGUGUGGUGGCACCCUGCCUGCCAGGGCCCGAGGCCUGCAGUGAUCGUGUCUCGAAGGUGCAAAAUGCAACACAGAAUCUCAACCAGGGCCAAUCGAAAGAGAGCAACCCCAAGCAGCUGGGGAGUAGUGGGGACGUGCGCAGCCAGGCCGUGGUCGACCCGUCGUUCGCAGUGUGGUCCCCCCAGCGGGGCGCGACGGAGGGUUCGCACCACCGCCCUGGGGUGAGAGGCAGUCCGCAGAGAGAGAGCACACCAAGGACGUUGUGGAUGUGCGCGUGUGGCUGGCUUGGGCAAGGCUUUCCAGCGGAUGGACAGAGUGCAAGAGGACAGAGCGCAGAUCAGCACGCUGAUCCCUGGCAUGCCUCCGGGCGUGCCAGUCACCGAGGCUCCCCUGUGGUGGGGUCGGUGGUCCCACGGUGACUGCACCAGCCUGCUGGUGGUCGCUGCGGUUGGCCAGUCCGAUCCCCCAGUGGGAGCGCGGUGCAGACAGCAGUGGAGCUUGGCCUGGCUUCGUGCCUCGACAGUGCCGCUCCCUGCCCGUCUUGAAACACGGACCAAGGAGUCUAUGGAGCCCGCGAGUCGUACGGUGCCCGUCGAUCGAAACCCCAGCGCAUGGUGAAAGCAAAAUCGUCCCAGUAUUGUGUCGGGAGUGAUCCCGGUUCUGCAUGAGAUACCGGAUCCGAAGUCCAGUGGACAGGGUUUUGAGUGCUUGCAAGGUCCAUGGGACCCGAAAGGUGGUGAACUAUACCGUUCUACGAUGAAGCCAUGGGAAACUGUGGUGGAAGUCGGUCGCUGUUCUGACGUGCAAAUCGUGUAGCCUGAGUGCGGCAUAGGGGUGAAAGGCCAAUCGAGCCACCUAGUAGCUGGUUCCCUUCGAAGUUUCCCUCAGGAUAGCUGGGCUCAAAUGGACCUCUGCAAAGUGGUUAUGUCCGGUAAAGCAACGCAUGAGAGGCAACUCUGGGGAGACUCUCUCCUCAACCUAUUCUCGAACUGUGAAUGGGCAUGGCAAACCCAUCAGGCAUGCUUCUUCACAAUGCCUGGAGUCCAUGUCACAGUGGUUCUCCUUGGGCUUCUGAGCAUGUUUGGCAAGAGUGGUGGCCUGUCUCUGUUAGAGUUCCCGAGCAGUCUCGUGCCCCCCUGUUGGGCCGGUCUGCCAAAGGAUGUCAUGUGAUGACUUGGAGCAAGCUGUCUCCAGAGCUGGUGAGAGAGCCCAUCAUCAAGAGAUGGCCACCUAUCUGCGUGUGAACACAAGUGCCUAUGUGGGCCAUGACUGGUAAGCAGUGCUGGCGAUGCGGGUUGCUCCGAGAGUGGAUUUACAGAUCCGGAAUCCUGGCUCAUACUCAGAUCCCACAAAGGAUGUCGAUUGUUCUGGAUAGCAGGUCGGUGGCCAUGAAGGUUGGAAUCCGCUGAGGAAUGUGUAACAACUCACCUGCCGAAACUUUCAGCUCCGAAAAUGGAUGGUGCCCAAGUCAGUGAAGCUCCCUCACAAUCCACCAUCGUUGUGGAAGCCAAAGCAGAGCAUCGUUGUGUAGAAAGGGCAUGAGAGAUUGCAGAGCUGGUCAGGGCCAACCCUGGCUGGAGUGUCUUCUGGUGCAGAUCUUGGUUGUAGUAGCGAGUACUCCAUCGGGUGAAGAGUGGAUAACCCCACAGUAUGCGAUUGAGGACUGGAGUGGAGCAGGUUUCCACACCAACAGCCGUUGAAUGUGGGUCAACCGACCGUGAGCCAAGUGGUAAGUUCACUGAACAACCAAAGCUGCCUGGGCCCUUGGGUUCUUGGAUUGGACACAACACUGGAUCACCUCCUGCAAAGGUUGUGACUGCUAAGGGUAAUAAUUGCUUCAGUGUCAGAGCCCAAAGGAGCACUGGCAGGAGUGGCAAACAGGCAAGCAUGUGCAACAUUCUGCUGUGAUGGGAUUGGGACAUUCAGGGAUGGCAACAUUCCUUUACACCGAGCAAGCUUCGGGGCAGUGAAGCCCCCGAGGAGUUAUCGUUUCCUCCUGAUGCAGACUCAUGUGGGCUAUCGAUUGGCAUUUCAUGAUGGUGGUGUAUGUCCUCCGCUCAGCAAGGCAGUGUGGCCUCCACACUGGUGGCCUCAGAAUUCGAACAUCACUUGCACCUGGACUGUGUGUCCUUGCUGCUGGCAAACCCGACCCAAUGGUGGUCACUGGCUCCAAUGAAAGGCUUGUGGGCUGCAGUGUCCCAGAUCCCUGGUCCUCGUACUGGAUCACCGCAGCCGGUCUCCUCGACAAGAAGUCGCUAGUCUACGGACGAAAUGCAGCUAAGGGAAGUCGGCAAACUGGCUGCGCACCUUCGGAAGAUGCAGUGGCUCCAGAGGCCAGGUCGAGAGGCCCUGUUGAGAGCUUUGUGGCUGCAGGGUGAUCGCCUUGUGGGGUGUCCUCGGAUGUUCUGCUUGGUCGAACCCCUCAGCUGCACUGUGACUGGCAGGGGUCAGAUCACUAGAUUUGGCCACCCUCUUGUCUACACAGUGGCUCAUGUGGAACUGAUGCCGUGCAGGGGAAUCUGACUGUUUAAUUGAAACACAGCUUUGUGAAGGGACCAGCUGGCUGGUGCCAUGAGGUGACUUCUGCCCAGUGCUCUGAUUGUCAAUGCGAAGAGAUUCAGCCAAGCGCGGGUAAACGGCGGGAGUAACUAUGACUCUCUUAAGGUAGCCAAAUGCCUCGUCAACCAAUUAUUGACGCGCAUGAAUGGAUCAACGAGAUUCCUGCUGUCCCUAGUCGCUGUCCGGCGAACCAACAGCCAAGGGAACGGGCUUGGAUGUGUCAGCGGGGAAAGAAGAGCCUGUUGAGAC
rnacentral:rRNA from 1 species